rnacentral:rRNA from 1 species
UAAUACUAGCGGUCCGAGUCGCAGCCAUUUUUAUUGGGUCUAAAACAUCCGUAGCUUGUUUCAUAAGUCUCUUGUGAAAUUUUGUCUCUUAAGGACAGAGCGAGCAAGAGAUACUGUGUUACUAGAGUCCGGGGGAUGUGAGGAGUACGGCCGAGGUAGCAGUAAAAUGCGUUAAUCUCGGUUGGACUAACAAUAGCGAAGGCACCUCACAACAACGGUUCUGACAGUGAGGGAUGAAGGCUAGGGGCGCAAAACGGAUUAGAUACCCGUGUAGUCCUAGCAGUAAACACUGCGCACUAAACAUCGGGAUCUCCUCGAGAGAUUUCGGUGCUGUAGGGAAGCUGUAGAGUGCGCUACCUGGGAAAUAUAGUCGCAAGGCCG